GGAAGUAAAGCUGAUAAUGUAGCGUCUCAGUUACAUCGAGAAGGAAGUUGUGUAAUUAACUACUUUCA
rnacentral:tRNA from 1 species